GACGUAGGAUGCAAGCAUUGUCCGGAUUUAUUGGGCGUAAAGAGUUCGUAGGCGGUUUGUUAAGUCUAAUGUUAAAGAUCAGGGCUCAACCCUGGGACUGCAUUGGAUACUGGCAGACUGGAGUGUGGUAGAGGUAAGUGGAAUUUCUGGUGUAGCGGUGAAAUGCGUAGAUAUCAGGAAGAACACCAGUGGCGUAGGCGACUUACUGGGCCAUAACUGACGCUGAGGAACGAAAGCUAGGGGAGCAAAUGGG
rnacentral:rRNA from 1 species